rnacentral:rRNA from 1 species
AUUGAACGCUGGCGGCAGGCCUAACACAUGCAAGUCGAGCGGAUGAAAGGAGCUUGCUCCUGGAUUCAGCGGCGGACGGGUGAGUAAUGCCUAGGAAUCUGCCUGGUAGUGGGGGAUAACGUCCGGAAACGGGCGCUAAUACCGCAUACGUCCUGAGGGAGAAAGUGGGGGAUCUUCGGACCUCACGCUAUCAGAUGAGCCUAGGUCGGAUUAGCUAGUUGGUGGGGUAAAGGCCUACCAAGGCGACGAUCCGUAACUGGUCUGAGAGGAUGAUCAGUCACACUGGAACUGAGACACGGUCCAGACUCCUACGGGAGGCAGCAGUGGGGAAUAUUGGACAAUGGGCGAAAGCCUGAUCCAGCCAUGCCGCGUGUGUGAAGAAGGUCUUCGGAUUGUAAAGCACUUUAAGUUGGGAGGAAGGGCAGUAAGUUAAUACCUUGCUGUUUUGACGCUACCAACAGAAUAAGCACCGGCUAACUUCGUG